rnacentral:rRNA from 1 species
GACGAACGCUGGCGGCGUGCUUAACACAUGCAAGUCGAACGGAAAGGCCCUGCUUUUGUGGGGUGCUCGAGUGGCGAACGGGUGAGUAACACGUGAGUAACCUGCCCUUGACUUUGGGAUAACUUCAGGAAACUGGGGCUAAUACCGGAUAGGAGCUCCUGCUGCAUGGUGGGGGUUGGAAAGUUUCGGCGGUUGGGGAUGGACUCGCGGCUUAUCAGCUUGUUGGUGGGGUAGUUGCUUACCAAGGCUUUGACGGGUAGCCGGCCUGAGAGGGUGACCGGGCACAUUGGGACUGAGAUACGGCCCAGACUCCUACGGGAGGCAGCAGUGGGGAAUAUUGCACAAUGGGCGGAAGCCUGAUGCAGCAACGCCGCGUGCGGGAUGACGGCCUUCGGGUUGUAAACCGCUUUCGCCUGUGACGAAGCGUGAGUGACGGUAAUGGGUAAAGAAGCACCGGCUAACUACGUG